AUUGAACGCUGGCGGCAGGCCUAACACAUGCAAGUCGAACGGUAUCAGGAAGAAGCUUGCUUCUUUGCUGACGAGUGGCGGACGGGUGAGUAAUGUCUGGGAAACUGCCUGAUGGAGGGGGAUAACUACUGGAAACGGUAGCUAAUACCGCAUAACGUCGCAAGACCAAAGAGGGGGACCUUCGGGCCUCUUGCCAUCGGAUGUGCCCAGAUGGGAUUAGCUAGUAGGUGGGGUAACGGCUCACCUAGGCGACGAUCCCUAGCUGGUCUGAGAGGAUGACCAGCCACACUGGAACUGAGACACGGUCCAG
rnacentral:rRNA from 1 species